AUUGAACGCUGGCGGCAUGCUUUACACAUGCAAGUCGAACGGCAGCGCGGGCUUCGGCCUGGCUGCGAGUGGCGAACGGGUGAGUAAUACAUCGGAAUGUGCCCCGCAGUGGGGGAUAGCUCGGCGAAAGCCGGAUUAAUACCGCCUACGACCUGAUGGUGAAAGCGGGUGAUCUUCGGACCUCGCGCUCUUGGAGCGGCCGAUGGCAGAUUUGCUAGUUGGUGGGGUAAAGGCCUACCAAGGCGACGAUCUGUAGCUGGUCUGAGAGGACGACCAGCCACACUGGGACUGAGACACGGCCCAGACUCCUACGGGAGGCAGCAGUGGGGAAUUUUGGACAAUGGGCGAAAGCCUGAUCCAGCAAUGCCGCGUGUGUGAUGAAGGCCUUCGGGUUGUAAAGCAGUUUUGGCGGGAACGAAAAGGACUGGGCCAAUACGACGCGUGGAUGACGGUACCCGCAGAAUAAGCACCGGCUAACUACGUG
rnacentral:rRNA from 1 species